rnacentral:rRNA from 1 species
AGUGAACGCUGGCGGUAGGCCUAACACAUGCAAGUCGAACGGCAGCACAGUAAGAGCUUGCUCUUACGGGUGGCGAGUGGCGGACGGGUGAGGAAUACAUCGGACUCUACUUUUUCGUGGGGGAUAACGUAGGGAAACUUACGCUAAUACCGCAUACGACCUACGGGUGAAAGCAGGGGAUCUUCGGACCUUGCGCGAUUGAAUGAGCCGAUGUCGGAUUAGCUAGUUGGCGGGGUAAAGGCCCACCAAGGCGACGAUCCGUAGCUGGUCUGAGAGGAUGAUCAGCCACACUGGAACUGAGACACGGUCCAGACUCCUACGGGAGGCAGCAGUGGGGAAUAUUGGACAAUGGGCGCAAGCCUGAUCCAGCCAUACCGCGUGGGUGAAGAAGGCCUUCGGGUUGUAAAGCCCUUUUGUUGGGAAAGAAAAGCAGCAGGUUAAUACCACGCUGUUCUGACGGUACCCAAAGAAUAAGCACCGGCUAACUUCGUG